AGAUUGAACGCUGGCGGCAGGCCUAACACAUGCAAGUCGAGCGGCAGCACAGAGGAACUUGUUCCUUGGGUGGCGAGCGGCGGACGGGUGAGUAAUGCCUAGGAAAUUGCCCUGAUGUGGGGGAUAACCAUUGGAAACGAUGGCUAAUACCGCAUGAUGCCUACGGGCCAAAGAGGGGGACCUUCGGGCCUCUCGCGUCAGGAUAUGCCUAGGUGGGAUUAGCUAGUUGGUGAGGUAAUGGCUCACCAAGGCGACGAUCCCUAGCUGGUCUGAGAGGAUGAUCAGCCACACUGGAACUGAGACACGGUCCAGACUCCUACGGGAGGCAGCAGUGGGGAAUAUUGCACAAUGGGCGCAAGCCUGAUGCAGCCAUGCCGCGUGUAUGAAGAAGGCCUUCGGGUUGUAAAGUACUUUCAGUCGUGAGGAAGGUGGUGUUGUUAAUAGCAGCAUCAUUUGACGUUAGCGACAGAAGAAGCACCGGCUAACUCCGUGCCAGCAGCCGCGGUAAUACGGAGGGUGCGAGCGUUAAUCGGAAUUACUGGGCGUAAAGCGCAUGCAGGUGGUGGAUUAAGUCAGAUGUGAAAGCCCGGGGCUCAACCUCGGAACCGCAUUUGAAACUGGUUCACUAGAGUACUGUAGAGGGGGGUAGAAUUUCAGGUGUAGCGGUGAAAUGCGUAGAGAUCUGAAGGAAUACCGGUGGCGAAGGCGGCCCCCUGGACAGAUACUGACACUCAGAUGCGAAAGCGUGGGGAGCAAACAGGAUUAGAUACCCUGGUAGUCCACGCCGUAAACGAUGUCUACUUGGAGGUUGUGGCCUUGAGCCGUGGCUUUCGGAGCUAACGCGUUAAGUAGACCGCCUGGGGAGUACGGUCGCAAGAUUAAAACUCAAAUGAAUUGACGGGGGCCCGCACAAGCGGUGGAGCAUGUGGUUUAAUUCGAUGCAACGCGAAGAACCUUACCUACUCUUGACAUCUACAGGAUCCUGCGGAGACGCGGGAGUGCCUUCGGGAACUGUAAGACAGGUGCUGCAUGGCUGUCGUCAGCUCGUGUUGUGAAAUGUUGGGUUAAGUCCCGCAACGAGCGCAACCCUUAUCCUUGUUUGCCAGCGAGUAAUGUCGGGAACUCCAGGGAGACUGCCGGUGAUAAACCGGAGGAGGUGGGGACGACGUCAGUCAUCAUGGCCCUUACGAGUAGGGCUCACACGUGCUACAAUGGCGCAUACAGAGGGCAGCAAGCUAGCGAUAGUGAGCGAAUCCCAAAAGUGCGUCGUAGUCCGGAU
rnacentral:rRNA from 1 species